rnacentral:tRNA from 1 species
GUGGCAUAAGUGGUUGAGUGUUUGGCUGCUAACUAAAAGGUUAGUGGUUCAUAUCCACUC